UACGUAGGGUGCGAGCGUUAAUCGGAAUUACUGGGCGUAAGGCGUGCGCAGGCUGUUCUGUAAGUCAGAUGUGAAAUCCCCGAGCUCAACUUGGGAACUGCGUUUGAAACUACAGGACUAGAAUAUGUCAGAGGGGGGUAGAAUUCCACGUGUAGCAGUGAAAUGCGUAGAGAUGUGGAGGAAUACCAAUGGCGAAGGCAGCCCCCUGGGAUAAUAUUGACGCUCAUGCACGAAAGCGUGGGGAGCAAACAGG
rnacentral:rRNA from 1 species